rnacentral:lncRNA from 1 species
AAAGGACUCACUAUCAGUCAGCGCUCUUCCCUCUGCCAGGAAAAAGGUAUCCUACCUUUCUGGGAAGGGAUGUUUCUAGUGAGAUGCUGUCAGUGUGUGUGCAAGUGCUGUUAAGAGACCCAGUCCUUUCCUCCCUGUUCUGAAUUCAGAGAAACAGGAGCAUCACCUGUGUUCUUAGAUGUGCAUGACUGAUUAGGAAUUCCUCCCCUUUAGGAGUAAAAGCUGUGAAAGCAGUGAAUAUGUAGAGGAGAAUUUGCAUGUAAUCUUUUAGACAGCACUUAGGGAGUUAACAUAACAGACUUUAUUCUCCCACUUGCUCCAAGCAGCAAAAUAUGUGGCAAAGUAAAAGGCAAGUAAAGCAGUGCAGUGCUGGGCUGCAACAGCGUUGAAUGAAUUAAAGGUUAUGACAAAAGAAAGCAUUUCAAGAUUAAGCUCCAGCUUUUAUGAAGUCUGGAUGCAGCAGAUAACAUACUUUUCAUUUUACCCCUGAUACUACAGUGCUCUGGGUCUUGUUGGAAGGGACAGAGUUUUUCAGCUUUCUUCUUUUUAAGGGGAAACACAUCUGCCAAAGAAGAGAACGGCGUUGGUUGCGAUGUGCUUGAUACAGAAGAGGAAUGGAUGGUCAGCCCUAAAUUCUUCAGAGACGCUUGCAGCAUCCACUCCAGCCUCUGCUGACCCUACCACCUCUCUGCCUGCUUCAUUGAUUUCUGCAUGUGCUGCAUGGACAGCUUGAGAUAUCUUCAGGCUCUCUGCUGAGGAGAUGCCAGACAGAUUGGCUGAAGAGCUAAACACGUCAGUAAUGCCCAUAGCCAUUAAGACAGAUGUGAGGUUGUAUUUUUCCUCCAUCUUCAUGCGAGGUAAGUACACUUUGAUCUUCCUCUCUUCCAUAACAUUAGAACUGGUCCAUUCAGUCAGUUUUUCAAAGUUGAUUAUACUCUCAAGCUGCAAGGAAAUGAGAAUGAGAUCCAUGGAAUGGCGACAUAACUUCCUUCCUGGCAAUGCAGUACUAGUUACUAUUAUGUGUUUUUUUGCAUACACCUUUUGAACUGAUUGCUCUUGUCAUGGCUUUUUCCUAGGCAUGUAGAGAUUAAUUUUGCUAAGAUAGAAAAGCAUACCAUGACUCUUUCUUCUCUGCUCUGUCUUAUUUUUCUUUUAUAGCCUUGCUGCCAUUUCUUUAAAUAAUAAUAAUAAUGAGAUGGCUACUCCCUUAAAGCUCCUCCCUGUUUAUUUUCUUUGCUUGGGAAAUCUAUUCUAAAAAUCACUCUGUGCUUUUGAGUUUAAAGCUGUCUCUACAUUUAAGACCUCUCAGGAGCCAGUUGUUAAUGGUAGCCAAUUACUGAUACUUAAACUAUCAGCUGUUACUAGACUGGGAACUGAUCUUUCAAGAGAAUUUGAGUUUUUAAAAACUAGAAGUUUAGCUGCCAAGUAUGCUUCCAUCUUAUUUACACAGUACCAGUUCAUGAUCACUCAGUUCAAAGCUAUAUCUGCCAUUUAAAAAAAGAAAAUGUAAAUUAGCAAAGUUACUGGUUGCACUGGUGACCACUAGAGGGGUGGAAAUCUCUUAACCCUAUUACGAGAUUGGCAUCUGGAAUAAUUGGUUUCUUUUGGUAUUACUAAUGUUGCUUUGUACCUAGUAAUAUUUCUUUCCUUGCCUACUUACUGAAUGUCUCUUACACAAAUCUGGCCAUGGCAGUUUGUAGAAACACCAUUUCAAUAUAUUCUCUCUUACCACCUCUAUCCAAACUUUUUUUUUCUCAAACACACGUAUUCUCUUGGAUCAAGGCACCUCAUUUUCAGACUUUCUAAUCAAAAUGUACUAGUUUUCCUACAUACUUUUUUUCCUAGAGCUGUACAUAAUCAUUCAUAUGCCUGUCUGUCACAAGUGAUGGAAAUCUAGCUGUGAUUAAAUGCCUCUUUAUCUUUAUAAUUUAGAUUGAGUUAGCAUACUAACAUUUCAAUGAAUUCUCAUUUAUUACAUUGUGUUUCCUAUUCAAAAUAACUACAGUCCUCCUAAUUACAAUAUGCUAUGCCUGUGUUCUGUUCAUAUCAAUAAUUGUACAUUAUGUACAUGUUAUUUCUGAAAUUGCUUUAACCACAUCCAAUUUUUAGAUAGAUUAAUUUAUGAAGACGUGAACAAAGCACAUUGAGUGCCACCAAAUGAGAUAAUAGUUAGAACUAGUAAACCUUAUAUGAACUUUCCAAGAAGCUCCUCAGUGCACAGGAAUGGAGAUACAAGACCUUUAGAGUUCAAGCCACUACAGUAACAGCUGCUUAGGUGAGAAUCAUCUUGUCUGCUGUGUCAAACUUUUCACCCUCUAAAGCAGUUCUUUCAGCAAGCCAUGCUCAGCAUGGGCUAUUGCAGGACCCAGUGGGACAAAUCUACACUUCUAUGCAACAAUCACAUAUUGAAUCAUGAUGAAAUUUGUGCUGGUUAAAUGUUUUAGGAUAACUGUGUUGAAAAGAGCUUUACAACAGCUAAAUUUCCAUGUGUUUUUAAUAUUCUGAAGCCAACUUCUAGGGCCAUACCUGCUCAAGGCCUGAGACUUCAUCAGGCAACAGCACCAACAUGCUCAUUGUCCCACUGGCAAAUGGAAGCUCCAGGAUCUUCAUUUUCUCAGAAGCCAUUGAUGCCACUCUAAAUAAACCAAUCUGGUACAUCAUCUGCACAGGUUUGCUUUCUUGCUGGAGAACCAAAAAAAAAAAAAAAGAGAGAGAGAAUAUAGUUUUAACAAAGAUUAUUCUUAGAUGCAGAAAUAUCUAGUUACAGUUAAGAUGAUUGAUUGUUCUCAUCCAGGAAGACCUCCCUAGGAAAAGUGGGAAUCUGAAGUUAUUUCUCAGGAGCUUUGCAAUGUCAGGAAUAUUGUGAUGAAAGAGACAUAAGGAAAAUUCCCUGCUUUUAACACAGUGUCUGAAAGAGAUGCAGACAAAUGAGCAGAUACGCUAAUGCAGUGUUCAUAUAACAACAUGUCUACUCUCUUCAUAAAUUCUAGAUUACAUCUCUAAGGUAUGCCCAUAUACCUCAGUCACUCUGAAAGGCAUUGCUUGUGUGUCUUCAUCCUUAAAUGCUUUCUCCCACAGUCCUUUGAAGACAAUGGCAUUAACCAGAACCAUUGCAGUUUGAGAAUCCACGGAGCUUGGCUGAAGGACAUUUCUGAUAAUUCCUUUAAGAAUGAAUAGGAAAAGAGAGUUUACGUAUAUCAUGUUGGCAAGCACAAGGUAGAUAGAGAAUGUAGAAUUUAUGGGGAAGAGGAUGUAGGGGCAAGGACAUUGGUUUGUUUUUGCAACUGCAAUCUUGUUCUUCCAAGAUUGAUUUUCUUGCUGCUAUUGUCAGUAAGUCUUGUUUCUCUCUCUAUAAAGAAUCACAACAAAAGAUAAAAGAUGAAGAGAUUUCUGUGUUACAAAAAAACUAAACCUGUACAUUUUAUGAUUAGGGGAAGAACCACUGGAAUUUCUCUUAUCCCAGAAUGGUCUUCAACCCAAACAGUACCAAGAAACAUAAAUAUUACUUGCUUCUAACCAAAGAGGAAAUUUGAGAUAUAUGUAAAGAAUGUAACAAAAGAGGAAAACGGGAUUUUACUCUGUUUUCUUCAAAAACUUUGCUCCUGUUUAUUCUGCAGUCCUUGUGCACAUAGUAUGUUCCUCACAUUGUCCUGUCACACACAUAGCUUACACGUAGCUUGCACACAUAGAUUACGUGGCCUAGUUUUUGCCUUCACAGAAUGUGACUCCACACCAGAGGUUGUGUGGUUGUGGAUGUUUUCAUCUCAGUUAGAAUUCACAGUCUUUCAUCUGUGUUUCAAGCAUGAGGGAAAGGAAUGCUCUGAGGAGAUGAGGAAUGAAGUAGAAAAAUUGAGGAACCACGCAGAGAGGCAUUAGGGCAAAAAUCAAAAUCGUGGUACCUCUUUCUAUGCAUUUUAUCCCUACCAUCCCUUAACUCCGAUUUUCCAUUGCCCUUUGUCUGUUAAGAUUUUUCAAGAGCCUCAUGACUGUAUGCCCUGCUUAACAGGCAUACAACAGCUCUGGUAAGCUUGAACGCAAAGCACGCUGGCUGAGCUAUAUCCAGGUUCUCAGUAUUAGGGUGAACCAACUCUCACUAUGUACAAAGCAUGUUCUACCUUACCAUUUGUCUGACUUUCUACCCAGGAAUUGAUGAGCUCUCUGGCUUGAUCUGCAGCUGUUUGAAAGUUGAUAGGUUCCAAGCCUCCUCUAUACAGUUCCUUCACACACUGCAAGUAUUCCUGUAAAGCAAGAGUAUUCAGCUUUCAGAUACGAAUUUCAAAACGUUUUGCAAAUGUGAAAUGCAAGACUGGAAUUAACAGAUAUUAAUAAUAUAGUAGUGUAAAAAGCUAUUUUACAGUGUAUUACUACAUGCUAUGCCUUAUAGUGUAUUUAGUAGUGUAAUAUGAAAUAGCUGUAUGGUAAGAUUUGACAUUCUUUUAGCAAGCCAUUCAUUCUCUGAAGACUGUAGAGUUUCAGGUCGGUGAUAGAGAAAUGUUAUUUGUCCUCUCUUUCAUUUGUAAAAACAAGAGAAAAAGAAAUUUUCUUAGUGAAACAUGUGGAACUCUGACUGUUUUUGCAUUACAGAAUGGUAGAGCUUUGGCAUGGAAAUACACUCAGAUCAGAUUUUAGAGCAACUUACUGGCAGGAUUGGGUAUCUCUCUUCAGCAUAAAGUCUACUGGCAAGGCUGAACGAAUAAACAUCAUUUGGUUUGGUGAUUUGGUUGAGGAUGUCUCUAAGUGAAGAGUGAACGUUUACAGAUGUGCCACACUGAAUACAAAGAGAAAGAAAGAUGUUGUUAUUCUAGUUUUAUUACUUAGUAGGUUUUACAUAGUGUAUGAACAGAGUAAAGUAGUUAGAUACUUCUGUUUACAAAACUAUUUUUCAUCCUGUCUGUCUUACUGCUAGUAACUACACUGAUGUGGUCCUUUUCCAAUAUUUACAAUUUUGUGCUGUUUUUCUUCUGUAAUUCCCUCAUACUUUUCUCUAGGGAACUCCUGCCUACCUGCUGCAAUAAUCUAGCUCCAGCAGAUCAGCCAGGCUUUCCUUCUUUUCCAACCAGACCCAUUUAUCCAGAAUCAUCUAGCUGUCUUGCUUAAGCGUACAAAUAUCCACAAGUUUCCUCAUUCACACGGUAUUUUUGUCCUGAGUUUUAUCUUCUGUUUGUUCUGAAUCCCCUGUUACUUCCUUCUUUUUCUCUGUUCUUAUGAACAGUGUUCUCCCAACUGCUGGAUGCAGAGCACUAGCUGCUCAUCAGAGAGGGCUUGGAACAGCUAAGAGAUUGCUUCAUCUGCUGUAUUUUGCUUCCAGAGGAAAGGGACAUAGAGAAGGAGGUGAAAUUAUUUCUGUACCUGAGCUUCAAUACUGUCUCCGAAUCCUGGAAGUUUAUCAAAGCGAACAACCUGUAAUUGAAAAUAAUAGUAGCUGAAAUAAUGGUUAUGACAAAAAGAAGUUAUGCAAUCCAGUUUCAAGAUUUCUAGCUAGUGCAUUUGGGUAACACUCUGGGAGUUGGAGGUGGCCACACUUUUAGAUAACUCUGGUUUCAGAUUUUCAGCCUCUGAGCUAUGCAGUUUCCAAGGGACAUUAUCAUACAAUUAAGUGCUGUGGCUCCAUUGAGCAGGGCAAAGGUUUUAAUCUUUAACUGUAGGCUCACCUUAUUUAUCUGUGUCCUGGUGCUGUCUUUUGCACCCAGGUAUACCAUGGCUAGAGCUGACAUGAUGGCAAUGGGGCAGUAGAAGAUGUUCUCAUUGGCAUGGUGGACUUUGAGCUCCUUGAAUACAUCAAAACAAAAUUCCAUGCUUGCUGCACCGAUGGAGCCCAUGGUGAACUCUGAGUUGUCUAGAGCAAACAGCAGAACAGUGAAAAUGUAAGGAUGGAAUGCUGUACAUAGUACCAUGCAGGGUACUCUAUGGUAGGCUACAACAGUAAAUUACGAGCAGUUUUUAGGCAAUUAAAUGUUAACAAGUAGUUUUAAAGUAAUUCUGUGGUAAUGUGUCUGUUGCUAUAUCCACCUCUCAUGUGCAUGUUCAAAACCAUAUUCAUAAAUCUAUUUAUGUAUUUGCAUUCAGUUGUCUUUUGGGUAGCAAACUGUCCCAGAAGCCAGUUGCCUCUACAUAUUUUUGUUCAGUGAAAGCUAGAAUUCAUUGAUACUUUUCAGUACCUCUGAUUAAAACACAAUCUGAUAGGCUUGCAAAACUGGAAAUUCAAAGAGCAAAUUUCAGUAAACUUUAGGUUUGGACAGAUAUAUGAGAAAGCAGAGGCUUGCUGACUAUUUUAUUUCUUAUUUUUAUUCCCUAAAAAUAAAUGUAGAGAAAUAUCUGUUUGUUGCACACUACUUGCUAUGAGUAGAUCUUCAAAAGUAUUUUUACCUUUGUUUUGGUGAUGGCAGAAUAGAUAAGGAAUGUAAUUUAUAUGGGGUCAUGUAGUCUAGGAGAAAGACACGCAUGUAAUUCAUAUUCUGCUCUAUUGCACUUUCAGGUAUGGUUUGCUUUGCUCAAAGAUAUGCAUGUGUACUGUAGUAUAAACUUUCUGUGGAGUUAAAUUUUAGUGGUGACAUUCAGACAGAAGAGAAAUGCAGACAUGAUAAAAUAGCAAUGUUUACUAUAAAACAGAGCCACUGAAUGAAUUCUUGUUCAUGACAUAGACCAAUAGAAGAUUUAUACUUGUUCUGUCUGUUUCUAUUAUAAAGAGCUGAACUGUACAACUAUUGUAUAGCCAGUGUGCUUAUAUAAAGCACAGCUUUUGGAGCCAGCAUGAAUCUAGUUGCUUUCCUGAGAUUUAUAUAAUCUGUGAAAGUCAGAAGUCCUUCAGAGCCCAGCCCUUUAUAUGCGUACUGAGUGCUGGGGCCUCAGGAUUGGAUUUUCUGUAUUAAACCCCUCAAAAGUUUUUACUGACCACGUGUGUGAGUAUACGCACACACAUUUUUCUCAUUUUCUUUUCUGUAUACAAGUUCACAUGUAUCUAUUAUUGUAAGAAUAUACGUUUAUGCACCCCCCACAUUUUUAUCUUGUGUAGUGAUCAGCAGCUGCACUUUGCAGGAAUUAAACUUCUAGAGAAUUUUCACAUUAAAAUAACUCCCCAGAAUUCACUGAACACCAUGAUUUUGCUCUCUGUGCACUCUGUAGGGCUAGAAGUUAAUCAGGCAAACUGCAAAGCAUAUCAGAUAGUGAACGACAGGAUAAGAUGUUCUGAAAUUAAAAACAUAUUUUAAGCACAAAGAAUAAGCCUCCUGAAAACAAACACAAAGCUUUUACACAUAAUAAAAUAGUGCAGAAUGCAUACACAGGUGAGAAGUUUUUAUAGGGGGUAUCACGCAGGUACUUCACCCUUAAAGAUACAACACAUAACACAAUAAUUGUUAAUUUUUUAAAGUUUAGGUGCAAGUAAGAGCUAAUAUAGAGAGAAGGUAAUUCCAGAGAGUUGCUUACCUUUUGAGCUUGAGUGCUAAAGGCAAUACAGCUUUCUAGCUGUAUGUACAGACACUGGCUGAGCCCUGGGGAAUAUAUAGCCUGAAUUGUGACCCACCCACAGGUUCCCUUCAGAAGUUUGACCUUUGACGCCAUAGAAAUCAUUUAAUGGGAUUGGGUUAGAUUUUAGUUUCAAUAGGUCCAUUUUGGAUUGAAUGGAGAGCAAAUAUUAGUUUUUAAUUCUGGGUAACAAUGUGUUUUCUGCCUGUUCUGCUAAUCCAUCAGGACUGUUGGAUGGGAGAGAAGACUGGGAAAUAUUGCUCAUGUUCCAUUGAGCUUCAGUUACAACCAGAUAAUGGGAUCUUUAAGAAAACAGAAAAAUGUGGGAACCUUGGAGAUGGAAAACAUAAUUAGCAAUUAUUAGUUAGUGUGCUUAUUACUAUGGUUGUAGUAACAGACCAGAAGUCUGUUUCAUUUGAUCCUUCUUGUAUGUACAACGUGCAUCUGAGCCAUGCUAGGCAGGACAUAAGUGAGAACAAGACGUGACCUAUUAUUUUCUUGACAAAAUAGGAGAAAUAAAGAAGCGUGCAUGUGAAGGAGCCAACUGAGACUAGAGUGAAGAGCAGACGCACUUUCUUUCCUAUAGCUGGAAUAUUUAAAUCUAUCUUUUUAUGGGUGUGAAUGCUUUAUAACAAACUUUUUUUCUGAGGAUACAGCAAAACAUAGCUCCAUACAAUGCAAAACAAUACUCAAUUUCAAAUGUGUUUAUGAUAUGAACUUGCAGUGUUCCUCAAAGAUCUUCCAUGAAUAACUUAAUGGCCUGGCAGAUGACAGAGGAAUUGUGAAAUUCAGCUGGAGGAGUGUUCAUGGUUCGAGGGACAAUCAUAAUAUACAAUAGCAAAUAUAUUUCAGUUAUAGAAGCUAUUGUUCUGUAUUGAAAUAAUAGAAUUGACAAACAGUAAAGAAACCAUUCUGACCUCUGUAAAGCACUGUUUGAUUUAAAAAUGAGGGAAAAAAGUACAACAUAAUUCUUCAGGACAUACAUAGAGAUCACUGCAAUCUCUGUUAAGCAGAAUUACUUUCCUAUACCACUAGCUGAAGUUUAGUCAGUGCCAUUUUCUUUUGUUUCUCUCCUUCCUUUUGUGAAAACAUAUAUACUGUAGAAAUCUACAUUCUCCUUGCCAAGUCUGAGGACUUAAGACAAGAUGGUAGUGCAAAUAAUAUUUUUUUGCUGGAUGUCUACACCACAGGUAUCAACUGAUUUUUUUUGUUUCAUUUUGUUUUUAAUCACGUCUUUUGCUUCUAUUUCAGCCACUAAGAAAGUCUGAAAAUCUUGCCUGCUUUUUGUGAUGAUAGAUGUGCUUCCCAGUAAAUGUUAUCUCUACCUAUGAAAUGCAUGUCAGUCUGCAGAAAGAGAAAGGAGAUUGGGAAUAGGUUUUCUCAGAUGUACUUCUCUGUCAUCUGGUGUCAAUCAAACACUAAUAAUUUGUGUAUAGAUAUCUUAUAUAUAUAUAUAUUUGGAAUUUGCAGGUUGGCGUAGUUCAGAUAGUCCUGUCACAUUGUAAUAUCCUGGUGAGAUAACAAGGAAAAGAGAGACCGUUUUGGCUCUUACUAAGGCAGGGAACUGCUUACCAGACAGGGAGGUUCUGGAGAUGACAUCCAGCAUGAAAAGCACACUUCCAAAUACUUGAAGGUAUCAAGUCUGACUUGUCAGACAGGCUCCAGAAUAACUUCUGUCCUAAUGCUACAGAAAAGGGGGAAGGUAUCCACCAUGGCCAAAAUUGUCAGCCAUUUUGUCUCAGCAAACAGCAGAUCUGGUCAGUGAGGACAAGGUUCUUUCAAAGCAACCAUGCCAUAUAUAAUUAAGCAUGUGUAAUUAAUAAAUAAAAAAUAUAAUUUAGUGUAUUUCCUCCUUUGGAUGUUAUGAAGAAAUGCUUUUAUUAACAAUUCACCAUAAUCUGUCCUAAGAGUAGUGAAUAACAACAGGCUGCUUCUCACCCUGUGGUUGGGUGUACCAGUGAGCCAGAGGUAAACGCCACGUUUCCUCUUUUGUAUCCCAUAGCAGAGAGGGUCUCCAUUUCAUUUCUGUAGCUCAGAAAGUUGUAGUGGAUUUACACUACAAGUUGUGGUAGUGGAGGUCUGCCGGAGUGGCCUCUGUGAACAGAGCCCAGCAGCUGUCCCGUGUCCUCAAAAGGGAGCUGCCACUGGCCAGAGCUGAGCCAGUGAUCGAUGCUAGAUGCACCUCAGGAGGAGCAAGAUGUAAGAACAACUGCUGUACAAUGGUAGUUGGGAGAGGUGAGUGAGAAAAUGUGAGAGAAACAGCCCUGAUGACACUGAGGUCAGUGCGGAGGAGGGCAGGAGGUGUUCCAGGUGUAGAACAGAAGUUCCCUGCAGCCCAAGAGAGGCCCAUGGUGGAGCACUCUGACCCUCUGCAGCCCAUGGUAUAUCAUAUAAACCUCAGUUCUGUGCCAUUAUUUUAACUCCAUAUCCCUUUUCUGUUCAGGGUCACUUUGAGUUCACACCCAUUUCUUUAUAUUUCUCCAAUAUCAGUCUUCCAUUGCUACAUAUGAGACUUGGACAGUACAUCUGAUUCAGUCAAAUCUGCCUUCAGAACGUCCCUGAAGCCCUUCUUAGACAGUCUCAAUUCUCCUUCCCUUCAUCUCUUUUAUCAUACAUGGACCACGGACCUGUCCAGACCUGAGUCAUAUGUCCAUCUUUACGUCCAUCUCUAUGUCUUGUACUUUAAGACAAAUAAAAUAUCAAGGAAAUUGAUGCAGUUAUGUCAGUUAUCACUGUCAUAGUAUCGUGCUGCAAAUAUAAGAUGAGAAUGAUCCCAAAGGUUUUUUUAAAGCUUCUCUAUUUGACUUCCACAUAGUGUCCUGAUUCCAGACCUACAGAACAGUUUUGUAUGCAUUUGACUUGCAGAGCUUUGUUUUGUGAGUCUUAUAAAAGCCAUUUUUCCUCUCCAAGAAGUAGCCGGUGGUUUAAAACAAUGUAGAUUAAGUGUGGAGCAUGAGAAUUUCUGCUUUUCUGUCAGAUGAGAAGGAUAUACUACACUCUUUCCCAAUGGAAGACCAGCUGCAAGCAACAAAAAUUGUCCAUGAACAAAUGAGAUCUUGAUCAGAACAGGCUGUCAUCAUAGCGUUGUCAGCAUACCUGCAUAGUUGGUUUGACUUGGGGGUCUAGAGAGAGUAAGCAACAAUCUUCUUGCAGUUGGAAGGUUACCUGGGAUAGGUGGCAAUGGAUUGCCCUGCCCAGCACAGCUGUGCAAAGCAGUACAAAUAGUUUUGUCACACAUUGUUUGAUAAUGCUUGUCCCAAGAAAAGGUCAGCUAAGGCUCUGCUGCCCUUUCCUAUGCCAGGCAUUUCAUUGUGGGUCUGUCCCUAAACCAACAGUCUCAUGAAUAAAGACUCGGAGACCUGAAAGUUAUAAAAGCACUUUUUAUCCAAAAGGAUAUGAAGUCCAGGUGAGCUCACAGGUCAAAGCCUCUUAUCCAAUCACUAAAACCUACUCAGAACUUGAGGUUUUGUUCUCCUCUUUGCCACUACAAUUUUGACAUUAGGAAGGAGCACAUUAAUUGUUCUCUGUUUGUCUUUGUUGCAUAUUGUGAGUGUGGAAAUUGCCUUUUCAUGAGGGAAAGAAGCAACCAUUCAUGGAGAGAUAAAUCAUUUUGCUCAGGUCACAGAUGAAUGUCGAAUGGAUUGCCAUUGCAUACCUUGGUGCUGUAGCCAUCAGUGAUGGUUUCUCUCUGAGCUGUUUUGUGGGAUUGUGUUGUUUCCCCUGUUUGAAGAAAAUCAGGUAUCAGGUCAAGCUCCUUUGGAUGUGAGUUCAUAGUCCACCUGGCAUCUUUCUGCAGCGGUGCUGUGCCAUUCUGAAGAGACCAACAUUGUUGCCUGCUGUGCUGCCUUGGUCUUUGACAGAUUGUGACAAGACUGUGAAAAACUAUUUGUCUUUGCUCUUGAUUCUCAUGAGGAUAUCUCGUAUCAGACCUCACAUUCAUUUUAAUUUGAUUUACCCUUCAUUGUACAGUCAAUGAUUCCUUAAAGCUUCCUGUAGAUAUUUGGUCUGAUGUUGGUAUGGUCUUUGUGGCAUGACAUUCAGUGAUUACAUCUUACUGGCUAGCAAAAGGUUGGGUGGGAGAAUUUUCCCCAAAAUCUGACAGUCUUCCUCAUUGUUACUGAAUGAGUUGUAGCCUCACCUGCAUGCAAAGCCUUUCACUUAGAAAAAUUAUAAAGCCUAUUUAGGAGCAAGAACAAAACAAUGUCCAAAGAAUAGUCAGGGUGGUUGAGGAAGGUUUCUGAUUUGGAAAAAAAGAACACAUUUUCAGAAAGGGGAAGGAGGAGAAUCCAAGAGAUUACAAUUCUCUGUAGUUAUUGAAAAGGUAGAUCACCAGUGGAUUUGUUCACUAUGAUGCUUGUAAGAAAGGCACUCAAACUCUGUAUCUAUUGCUUAACCUACCAUUUAUUGUAGCUAACAUAAAGAGAGAGUAGUAUCAGUAAUCUUACAUUCCCUCAGGGAACCACAAGUUGUUCAGUAUCGGAUAGACCUCCAAUCAAGGCAUGACAUGUGAUGCAAGUCCUAUCUAUGGAGCUAGAAGUUCACUGACACCUUGUUCUUCAGAGCUCUUGCAGAAUUUGCUUAGGAAAAAAAAACAAUUCUGUUCAUUUCUACUGUCAAACAAAAGGAUAUUUGAAUGAAAACAUGAUGCUUCACAGAUGAGGACACAGGUGGUACAAUCACCCAUGCCAAGUGGGAGCUGCCUACAGGCCCCUGCCUUCCAAUUGGAAUGCAGAGAUUACCCAGCUGCUCAGGCAUAUGUGCCAUGCAGAACAGGACUGGAACCCAAACUCUAUGCUUGACACAGCACAGGCCCACUUUCUCAUGCCAACUAUUAUGCGGAUCACUACCUGUUGUACAACUAAUUGUAUACCAGUUAGGACUGCUACAGACGGCUCUGACCCAAGGCCUCCUUGGGUGUCUCAAGGCAUAUGAAGGAAUAUAAGGUGAUAGGAAAAGCCAGCAUGGAUCAAGCACAGAUCUCUGCUGAUCAGCACUUUCGUCUUCUAUGAUGAAGUGGCUUAUUCUAGAAACAGAGGCAAAGCAGAGGAUAUCACAUGCCUUGACUUUAUUAAGACCUUCAAUAUGAUCUCCCAAAUUAUUAUUGUAACAAGAUGGGAGAGACGUAGAAUGAGUCAGCAGACAGUAAUGUGGGUGGAAAAUUAGCUAGAUGCCAACAGCCUCCUUCUGCACUGAACUUGCUAACCAGGUGGGUCCAUAAAGACAGGGCAAUGCUUAGGUCAAGCUGAGAAGCAAGUCUGCAUCCUGAGAUCAGCAGGCCCAAUAUCUGGGCAGGGCAGGGCUGCAGGGAGGUGGACGCUGGUCUUGCUAUGGCCUUACUCCAGCAGGAGUUGAUGGUUCCAGCAGGCUGAAUUGUGGUCCUGGGUAUGGGGUGUACCUCAUGGGAGGUCAGUGCCCUCAGAGCUCAGAAGCAGCCUCUCAUCCUUCUGAGCAAAGUGCAUCCUUCCUCGUUACAGAGACUUGGGCUCAGGAGAGGCUUACUUUAGAGAGAUGCAGUGGUUGUGGAUGGUAGCACACUGCUUUAGAGCCAAGGCAGGGACAGAAGACAGGAAAGGAACGUGGCACAAGUGGCCCUGACCUGAGUAAGGGGGGGUCACACUGUCAUGAGAGCCCCUGCUAGGGAUGGAGCGGAGAGCCUGGCAGGGUGGAAAGGGGCUUAACUGGGAGCCUGGGCUGAGUAAAGGGUGAGUACUGUCCAGAGAUCAGAACCCAGAGCAAGACCAGUCCCUCAGGAAGUUUGGUAGUGACAAGAUUCCAGGUGGCCAGAGACUGGGCUCCUUAGGGAUUUGCACAGCUGCAAACAAGAGUCCAAAUCAUAAGGCAGUAUCAUACCACAGGGCACAUCCAGUCAAGCCAAGAAAUCAUUUCUUAAUUCAGGAUUAGGAUCAGGUCCAGCAAUCACCCAGCAGGUCCUUAGCAGCAAGGCACAGCCCAGGUCAUACUAGGAGUCCUUGGCCAGGUAUGGGCACAGCUGUGUUUGAACUGGAGACAUAGUACACACCAUACUAGUACAUCUAACUUAGGACAGGAAAGAAGUGAAGGUUCAGGGCAGAGCUUAAAUAUAGAGCCUGGGUCCAUAGGGGUAGGUAAAGGCUCCAGGUGCAGUUGGUAAUGGCACUUAAAGGCUUUGCUAAAAGCAAAGCGCUCAGGGCUUUGUUAUCUAGUUAGGAGCAAAAGAGGUGGUACUGGAGAUUCAGCAAAAGUUUGGGUCUGAGGUCAAUUUUGAGCAGGCCUGGAGAGAGAGACACAUACAGCAUUCCCUAGGGAGGGACCAAAAGACUAAGGCUCAGCUGAUCUGAGCUUCUGUUGUAGGUAACAGUCCUGACUUGGGGAGUGUUUGUAAUUUUUUGCUAAUUAACAUAAAAAUUACUGAUUCAGGAAUUGACAAAAAACAAACCAGCAAACUAUGGAAUAGACACUUAAACCUUUAAUCCCCCUUUUCCCUAGUCAGCUUCAGUUCUCCUUGCCUUCCUCCUAGUUUCAGCUUCGUUAUUGCACUCUCUUCUUCCCAGUCCUUUCAGUGAUGCAGUAGGCAGUGUAAGAGGCUAGGGUCAGUAUGUAAUCUAUAUAAUCAUUUCUGUCUGCCAGUGGUUGCUGCUAACUAGAUUUCUCUGCUCUAGUGUGCUGCCUGGGCUGCAGUUCUUCGGGGCUGUCCCUACUCCAGUGUUAGCUGCUUGUGGGAUACAGUCUCACCAGGAUGACGCUGACCUGUGUUGGUUGCCCAUGGCUGCGGUGCCUUAGAGGUACAUCCUCUAGCAUGGAGCACCUCCUCCCAGGAUUGUGUCUUUGCCUGUGCUCCCAAGAUCUCCUUUCAAAUAUCUCCUCUGUUAUGUUUCUCCAAACAUACCUCUCACAUGUCCCCUUUUUCUGUUUCUAGUCUUUAUCUUUUGGGUCUAUUUGCAUGUCCUCUGUCCCUAGCGGCUACCACCUUUUCUUAAUUACAUUUGCUACAUUGCAGUGCUGCUACAUUUUCUAAUUAAAUUUGGCCUUAAGUUGUGCCAGGGUAAGUUUAUGUUGGAUAUCAGGAAAAACUUCUUUACAGAAAGGGUUGUUAAGCACUGGAAUGGGCUCCCCAGGGAUGUGAUUGAUUCACCAUCCCUGGAUGUGUUUAAAAACUGUUUGGAUGUGGUGCUCAGGGACAUGAUUUAGAGGAGGGUUGUUAGAGUUAGGGUAGUUGGUUAGGUUGCAGUUGGACUCGAUGACCUUUAAGGUCUUUUCCAACCUGAGCAAUUCUAUGAUUCUGUUUGAGCAGAGGUGCCAUGUGCUUUUCUUAUUAGCUGAAAAUCUGGUGCACAGUGAGUUUUCAUCCAUUACAGAGACACCUGCAGCUGACCCAGGGUAGUUCAGGGCUUCAUCUCACAAAGAUCACCCCCGGUACCCAAACUGUGUGCCAAUUUCCAGUACAGACUCCUGGGCCCAUGAGAACAACGUAUGUGGAAGAGCUCCUCCAGUGAGGCUUGUCAUUACUGUUAAGGCUUACUCUUGCCCUCAGAGUUCUAACAUUAUUUCCUGUUCCAUGUCUUCUAUAGCUAAUUUUAUUUUCUAUAUCUUUCUUAUUUGUCAGUGGAUAUCUCUUCCACAGCUUGGUCCACUUUCCUUCUAAAAUCAUGUAAGAUUUUAGCAUCCCAUCACUUGGGAGAAGCAUUAAACUGAGUAUCUUGAUUGUGACCCGUGCCUAAGCUACUUUGCAUGCCUGCACCAGGCCAAGAACCUCACUGUGCUGGAGGACCCUGUAAUGCAUAGGAGUCCCUUUGGAUACCAGUAAAGAAGACAAUCAGAAACUGUAAAGUAUUUCUUAAAAUAGAGUUUACUGGAGCUAACACAAGAAGGAAAAAGGAGAUAGCACAGAUAAUUUCACAUCCCUUCAGAAGUUGGGCACCCUAAGUUGUGCAGUUUUGGACAGAGCUUUAGUCAUGGCAGAUUGCACAGAUCCCAUCCAUACAAGGGUUCAGUGGCAUUGUGAUCUACAUGUUUUGUUAGGACAUUCGUAGAAGUAAGCAAUACUGUUUGUUAUUUCUGCUGUUGAGCAAGAAUGUAUUUAUAUGGAUCCAUGCUGUUUUACUUCAAGAUAGAGAAUGUGCCACAGGGAUCAUCACCUGUUGCCAUUCUGGGGCCAUAUACAUGGGCUUAACCUUCUGGUUUGAUCUUUGGCCUACCACAUCACUACAUAUUUCUCUGGAAAUCACUAAACUAUGGCUAUAAUAUUGGAAAAUUUAGCACUUGAUCCCUUAUCGGGCCCUUCUAGCCUUACUGUCACGGUCUCCUUCCCUUGCCCUCAGUCUCCUUCCCUUGCUGAGCAGACUGACACUUGCUGCUCCUCAACAGUCAUCUCUGCAGUUUAUUUUCCAGGCUGAAGAAUCUUAGAUCAUGAGCCACAGGAAACACCAAAGUGAACCACUGCUCCAUGUCCAGUUGAUAUUUCGUAGACUGAUAAAGAUUGGAAAAAUACACCAAAGUCUAGUUCAACAUGCUGUGCUUUCCCAAGUGACUUUUGAGAUCCCAGAGUAGCUCUGGACCAGGAUAUUCUCUUGAGUCCUCUGCCUCUGGUGACUGUGACACCACAUGCAGAGUCUUGUAACUUCAGCCAUAGAUUCGGUUUGCUUAGAAGACGAUAGGCAAAUGUGGAGAGAAGUGCAGAAUAGAUGCAGGUGGUCUCCAAAUGAUUCUGUGAUGGUCCCUUCUCCAAAUGAUGUGAGAAGGAAAGUUACACUUAGUCCAGAGAGCACUUCUCAUGAGGCAUUCAAAAGAGUGUGAUUACACCUGGCUGUUUUCAUUCCGCGAACCACUAGCAGUACUGCCUCUCUAAGAACACAGCACUGAGAGAACAUGAGGUGUAGUGAACAGACAGAAGGCAAUGUCUUGACAUGACAACUUCAGUCAUGGUAUCAGGGAACAAAAAGGACUUUUGGACAAUAGCUGGACUUGGGAUUCAUUUCUCUUAUCCCUUGCUGGGCUUCAGAGCUCAGAGGCACCUUUGGAAUGCCAUCCUCUUUCUGAAAGCUGAUAAACGUAACUUUUUACCCUUAGUGACACCUAAUGGCCUUUUUAAAACAAGUCAAAUGCUUCCAUUUCACAGUUAAGACAUUAGGUGGACUCUGUGCCUUGAAUACCCUCUUUUGUAUAGUUUUUGAAAUUCAUUUAUCAUUUCUGCCUUGAUUUUCUUCAUCUUUUGCUUUAAAAAGAUCAAACAAUUGAAUAGCUGUUUUUUUAGUUUACGCUAUAUAUUAAAUACCUCCAUAGUAAAUGUGGGUACUUUUACUGUUAUUGUACCUAGAAAGUGCAGAGUGACAUAGCUGCAUAUUUCAGUUCCAACGCAGUAUUAUAACUGCUUAGUAACCUUACACACUCUGCUGCUCAGGACAAUAUUUUACCAGUCCUGCCUUUUUUCCUUUGCCGUUUGUUUGGUUGGUUGGUUUUAGUUGUAGCAAAACUGUAUUGACUGAUUUCAGCUGUAAGAGGGAAAUAACAUGAUGUACACAGUAAAACUUGAAAUUUCAUAGCUCUUGAAAUACUUUUUUUUACUUGAAUCCUUAUGCAAACUGUACCUAAUCCUUCUGACCCUCUUGGGAAGACCAGUAAUCGCAUUUCUCCCAUUUUUAGUGGGUAUGAAAUGUGUUUCACUGCUGCUAAUGUCAUCAUUUCAAGUUAUAGUUAAUGCUGACAUGGCACGUGUUUGAGGCAGCUCCGAAUUACUGAAGUAUCGCUACAUUUUCAGUACCAAUACUGUAAUUUGCAAUUCUGCAUGUGUAUCCCAGCAGAAAACUGUCAUUAACACUAGUAACCAUUAUAAUUGGAUAAAAUAUAACCUAAAGACCCUUUCCUCUAAAGACCGUGAAAUAGCAUACAACAUCUCGAGAGGAAUAUCACAUGAGGCAAUAGAAAGAUUUCUUCAUGUGAUUCUUGUCAGCAUGAGAAAGCUGAAGCAGUCUACCUUUUAAUACCUCUCUCAUAUUUUUAAAGUUCUAUCUUGUACACAUCACCUUGAUGUAUUUACUGAGGACCCUUAGAGGAUUUCUGUAAAAGUUCUCUGGAAAUUCAGUAAAUUCAAAAAAUUUUGUUAUUUGGUAUGCUGUAUUGGGAGAAGCUCAAUUGAAGAGUAGGAGCUAUAGGGUUUACCUUGAUUAAACCCAGUUGUUUUUUUUUUUUUAAUCUUAAAAUAUUUAGUGACCUCAUAUAUGGGUACAUUCUGGUUUUGAAAAUAGGAUCCACAUACCAGCUUAGUCACCUCUGUCAAUAAUUAUUACCCACUAUAUCAUAUUUUUCAGGUUGUGUAGUACAGUAACCCAGAAUAGGUAAUGACAUGUUUUGUUUGCGAAGCUUUUAUUAGAAUAAAUAGAAAGACCAUUAAUUAACAUUCACAAAAUCAGUGACAUGUCACUGGGAUGAAAAUGGGAAAUAAUAUCAAUCAGGAAGAUGUUUUGUUUGGAGAUGAUUUAAGAAGAAAUGGUAGACUUUCUGUAUGCUCCCUCAGAAAAAACGUUACACAGCACAAAUAAGUCCAAAUGGAUUACUGGAAGACAAAUGGUCUGCUGAAGUUAAAAAUUUCAUCUGCAAGUUGUCCAGGCAUCAGUUCUAGGAUGACUGCCCAGCUAAUUCAAUGGAAAGGACCAGGAUUUUCCUGAAAGCUGUGUUUAUUUCAGAGAACUCCUAUAGAGAAACCAGAUUCUCAGUAACAAUGGCAGAAUCUCACACACACACAUACAAAAAAAACCAACCAACCAGAAAA